AUUGAACGCUGGCGGCAGGCUUAACACAUGCAAGUCGAGCGGAGAUGAGGUGCUUGCACCUUAUCUUAGCGGCGGACGGGUGAGUAAUGCUUAGGAAUCUGCCUAUUAGUGGGGGACAACAUUCCGAAAGGAAUGCUAAUACCGCAUACGUCCUACGGGAGAAAGCAGGGGAUCUUCGGACCUUGCGCUAAUAGAUGAGCCUAAGUCGGAUUAGCUAGUUGGUGAGGUAAAGGCUCACCAAGGCGACGAUCCGUAGCUGGUCUGAGAGGAUGAACAGCCACACUGGAACUGAGACACGGUCCAGCCUCCUACGGGAGGCAGCAGUGGGGAAUAUUGGACAAUGGGCGAAAGCCUAAUCCAGCCAUGCCGCGUGUGUGAAGAAGGCCUUCGGGUUGUAAAGCACUUUAAGCGAGGAGGAAUGGCUCUGGGUUAAUACCCUUGAGCAGUGACGUUACUCGCAGAAUAAGCACCGGCUAACUCUGUGCCAGCAGCCGCGGUAAGAC
rnacentral:rRNA from 1 species